rnacentral:lncRNA from 1 species
AACUAAACCCUUUUAUGAUCCAGAUAAAGAUAAGAUGGGGGUCAUUUAAAAAUUAAAAACUAACAUCUACGGGUCAUAUUGGGUCGAUUAAAUAAGAAUAGCUGGUCAUCCGGGUCAUUAGGGGUUUAAUGGAAGAAACCACAUGGGUUAAGAUUUCAAUAGUUCAAUUCACGGUGAAGAAGACUGAUUCACUGAACAUCAUCUUUAGUUCUUCAUCAUCGAUAUUGUUUCUUUGAUUUUUGUGACAAUUGCAGAUGUUUGUCAUCUACUUCUCACAGCGAUUUCCAUAUGGUUAAUCAAGUGUUCAUCAAGAUUCAAGGGUGUUUUAGGGACAUCUCGAUGAUCAAUUCACACAACUUCAGAAAGUGCAAGAUAAAAGCAACCCGAACUUUGUGUUUGUAGUGGUGCCCCUUUUCUUUGAAGACCCUUAAAAGUUUCUUCAAAAUUUGACAAUUGUUCUCCAGAAAAUCUGCUUCUAGAUGCUUCCGGAAACCGCGAAGUUUCGGAUUUUAGAUUGAGUGCCCUUUUCUCGGCAAGUUAGGGAUGACUAUUGAGUUACAGCUGGGUCGGAGUUGUGUCAGUUCUGAGACGAUUUGGACAACAACUGUGAGUCAGUUGCAGUGCCAGUUUGUUCAAACCAGUACCAGCAGCAGCAUUGUGGUGAUUAUAGUUGGCAGUUUGCAAAAUCAAGUUUAAACUUAUAAUAUGCAACACUGUUAGAGGUGGUUGGCUACACUGUACAACGUACUUGUUGUAUCAUCAAUAACGAUUCGGUUAAGCGCGCCGCAACGCGGCGCUACGUAAAAAUCUAGUUUCUUUCAAAUAGGACUUAAGGCAUCAAUUUUCAGGUUUUCUGAUUUUUCUUUUGAUUUUCUGAAUUUUUUUCCUC